rnacentral:rRNA from 1 species
UACGUAGGGGGCUAGCGUUAAUCGGAAUUACUGGGCGUAAAGCGCACGCAGGCGGUCAAUUAAGUCAGAUGUGAAAUCCCCGGGCUCAACCUGGGAACUGCAUUUGAAACUGGCAAGCUAGAGUCUCGUAGAGGGGGGUAGAAUUCCAGGUGUAGCGGUGAAAUGCGUAGAGAUCUGGAGGAAUACCGGUGGCGAAGGCGGCCCCCUGGACGAAGACUGACGCUCAGGUGCGAAAGCGUGGGGAGCAAACAGG